CUUCUCUCUAUGUGUUUUCACAGAAACCCAGGCCCAGGGAGAACAUUUACCCCUCUUCCUACAUUUCAGAGCUGAAAAUGUCGGAAUUGUCAUGGUAAUGCCCAUAGUUGAUGUGACAGAUACUGAGAAGGAAAAACACGCUUGCCACAUGUGAAAACUGCCUGGUUGGUUCUGCUCUGAGUGCCUCUCUGGAGGGCACAUUGAUGGAUUUGACAAUCACUUAAUUCUACUAGAGCCUGACCUUCAGUCUGGAAGUCAGAUAUACGCAGCAGAGACGUAGAUGAUAGCCGCAGGCUGCUGCUGGUGGGAAGCUGACAGAGUCCACUUUAAAGGACUGCCUUCAGUACCAUCUACAUUCUUCUACCUGGGACUGUGUGUGGCCAUGCGGACAGGCUCUCACCUUCACUAAACAAUUCAACUGUCCCUGCUUGCAGCUGAACCUCGGAGAGCAAUCAGCAUUCAAUGUUCUGUAGUAUAAGGAUCCUCCAGCAGAUCAUCUCUAGAGCUAGCUCUGACUUCUGCUCCCAGAGUCACCAUGGUGGUUAAGUAUGAAUUUGAUGGUCAUCUGGAAUCAGACUCUCUCCUCAUGGCUGCAAUUCCUCCGUGGUUCCGGCUGAUUUGAACCUCUCUCCAUCUCUGUGCUCCUUUCCCUGGCUGGUGGAAGUUCUGCCCCAUUCCCUUUUCUGCCCAGCCAUUGGGUGAUCGUCAUUUAUUGACAAGGCAGAGAAUAAAUGAAUUUAGUGGAAAAAGUGGGGACUCUACCGAACCUUAAAACAGACCCAGCUUUCCUCCUUCCUGUGGAUGCUCUCCACCUCUCACUGGAGCCUCCAUGUCAGCCACCUAUUCAUGGAGGCACUCUCCACCUGAGAACCCCCUGCUACACCUGCCUGGGAUUCAGAAGCAAGAAAUACACACUGGAAAAAAAAGAUGGCAUUGUCAAAAACUGGUGCUGCUCAAACUGGAUGGCUGCAUAAUAGAAAAAUGCAAAUAGAUUCAUGCUUAUCACUUGCGCAAGCUCAACUCCAAGUGGAUCAGAGAUCUCAAAACAAGAUAUGCUGAGCCUGAUAGAAGAAAAGUGGGGAAUAGUUUUGAAUCAUCGGCACAGAAUUACAUGUGUCUGUGUUGUCUCCCCAGAGGCAGAGACGGAGAUUGACUGAACCACCAUUCAGAUGGUGCUAUUAAAUUCCAGGAGGUACUUCUGGUGGUGAGUUCUCCAUCACCACUCAGCAUUCCUAGCCAUCAGUCACUGGUGAACGAGGAGAGAGAGGGUGGGGAGAGGGGACCUGACAUACCACAUUCUGUUCAGCUCAUGACUUAGAGCUGAACAGCAGCGUGUGCUGGUACAGGGGCAGAUGAUCUGAUUCUGGCACUGGGAAUCUGUGUUUUAGGCAUCACUUUUAUAAUUUAAGUAAAACUGAGGAUUCAAAAACCA
rnacentral:lncRNA from 1 species